AGAGCUUUUAGAUACUGACCACUGAGUGGUUUAAAAAAAAAAAAAAACUGUUCUUAUCAGUUUAAUAUCUGAUACGUCCCCUAUCUGGGGACCAUAUAUUAAAUGGAUUUUUCGAACAGGGAGAUGGAAAAAGAGCUUGCUCUGUCCACUCCACGCAUUGACCUGGUAUUGCAGUACCUCCAGGACCGGUGCACCCUUU